UGUUGGCCACUGUUCACUCCUUGGAGCGCCUU
rnacentral:piRNA from 1 species